ensembl:misc_RNA Metazoa_SRP Metazoan signal recognition particle RNA
GCUGGGUGCGGUGGCACAUGCCUGUAGUCCCAGCUACUUGGGAGGCUGAAGUGGGAGGAUCACUUGAGCCCAGGGGUUCUGGGCUGUAGUGCACUAUGCCAAUCAGGUGUCCGCACUAAGUUUGGUAUCAAUAUGGUGACCUCCCAGGAGCGGGGGACCACCAGGUUGCCUAAGGAGGGGUGAACAGGCCCAGGUUGGAAACGGAGCAGGUCAAAACUCCCGUGCUGAUCAGUAGUGGGAUCGCACCUGUCAAUAGCCACUCCACUCCACUCUUCAUCUUAGUAAUGU